GAGCCCGGAGGCCAACGCCCGCCAGCGAUGUUUCGCCCGCGGGCGCGUUUUGC
rnacentral:sRNA from 1 species